UGGUGGCGGCAAAAUAAAGGGGGGGGGGCGGUGAGACUAGAGGCUAGUCAGAAGAUCUCCUUCCGAGUCUCGUCCUCCCAGCCGCUCCCCUCCAACCCAAGCACCCUCGGCCCCUUGCUCCGAGCCGCGCCAGGAAUGCGGACUAAUUAGGGUCCAAUGUCUCCUUAAAGAGACAAGCUCGGCCUUGUGUAACGCUGCGAAACCCCUGUUGAGACAAGAAAGGGAGGAUCACGCCGAUCCCACUUCGUUCGGUUCACAUGAAUUUUACGCGCCGCUGGAGCCGGCAUAAUUUUCCGUGUGAACGCGGAUUCGGGCCCCUGUUCUUGUUUAGAGCCGAAGACUGAGCUGCGAGACGCUGACCCGGGUGGGAGAGCUGAGAACUUGUGAAUCCAGGAAUUGACAUCAGCCAUGGCAGCCUGAACAAAGCAAGCCUGCAACUAUAAAACUGACAUCCAGAGAGAAGCAGAGAGGAAAGGAAGAGGAGAGAGUCAUGGGAGAAUCCCAGUUCCUGGGGUAUUCUUGUCAUCCCACUUGGCUCUGACACCCUGUUCUAAGCUGCCGCUCCUACUGCUCCCUCCGCCACAUGGAUGCCCUUCUCAUCUAGUCUGUGUGGUGCUUCAAGGACAAAGGACAACCCUGCCUGGAAAAGUUUCGGCGUUACACACCCUACUGGACUCUUCAUCGACCUCCCCACCAUGCUGCGAUGCGUACACAGAAAUUCCUGAGCCUACCUGGGCGACAGGACCUGUUCCUCUCUCGUCCCAAAUAAGGAAAAGCAUCUGUCCUGUCCCACUCCCACCCUAUAGAAGGAAGGUAUAUGUGCCUCGACCAAUUAGUAAACGGAAUUUUCACCUCGGACCAUUCCUUUGUUCUCUGGCUAUAAAAACUGACUAAUAGCACAUGUUCGGGG